CCAAAUGGGGCGACGAAUGCCGAUUUGGGGAUAGCAUCCUCCGCCAGGGGGAUCUGCCAGUAGCCCUUACACAGGUCUACGGUGGUCAGAUAGCGCCCCCUGGCAAUACGAUCCAGUAAUUCGUCUACCCGGGGCAUCGGAUAGGCGUCAGUGGUGGUCCGCUCGUUGAGUCGCCUGUAGUUCACAGAAACAGGUGGUCCCGUCCUUCUUGG
rnacentral:lncRNA from 1 species